rnacentral:rRNA from 1 species
AGUGAACGCUGGCGGUAGGCCUAACACAUGCAAGUCGAACGGACGCACAGUAAGAGCUUGCUCUUACGGGUGGCGAGUGGCGGACGGGUGAGGAAUACAUCGGCAUCUACUUUUUCGUGGGGGAUAACGUAGGGAAACUUACGAUAAUACCGCAUACGACCUACGGGUGAAAGCAGGAGAUCUUCGGACCUUGCGCGAUUGAAUGAGCCGAUGUCGGAUUAGCUAGUUGGCGGGGUAAAGGCACACCAAGGCGACGAUCCGUAGCUGGUCUGAGAGGAUGAUCAGCCACACUGGAACUGAGACACGGUCCAGACUCCUACGGGAGGCAGCAGUGGGGAAUAUUGGACAAUGGGCGCAAGCCUGAUCCAGCCAUACCGCGUGAGUGAAGAAGGCCUUCGGGUUGUAAAGCCCUUUUGUUGGGAAAGAAAAGCAGCAGGUUAAUACCCCGCUGUUCUGACGGUACCCAAAGAAUAAGCACCGGCUAACUUCGUG